AACUUAACUCCUCGACUCCCACCGACGGCGUCAGAGUUCCACCAGCACAACGACGCCUUCAGUUCAGCGGUUUGAACUGAAGGACUUUUGUGAGAAGGGUUCAAUGAGAUGAGAGUUAGCUUAGCUUAGCAUAAAGACCGGGAGCAGAGGGCAACUGAGGAAGCAAAUUCCAGCAUUCAAACGCUCUCUUUUCGUGUUUCCUUCUACGACCUUUCGGAGGAACGACAUCCGUCUUGUCAGAUAACAGAACGCGCCUGGACUCCGCGGGUUAACACCUCCCUCCCAAUUAAGCCCGAGCGGCGUGACCCGUUUCCACCCCGCGUAACGACAACGCUCCUCCUCAACGGACGAAAACAGUGACUCGACUUGUAGGCGCAUGCCGGGGAAACCCAGGCGCUGGUGCCCGGCCGGGCCUGUGGCGGCUUGUGGCAUCGCAGUGGAUUUCACACUACAGGUUAGUCUGGAAAACACUACGCGUGAGAGAACAAGCCUGAAGAACGGAGACAUAUGCAGGAGAACUAAGGUGUUGUAAAGCGUUGAAAGGUGAGAAUAUUUGGAAAGGCAAAAGAAGUCAAGAACAAUUACAAAACUAUUUGGUUCAUUUUCUACCCGAAUGACGAGGUUACUUUUCUACUCAAUGAUGAACUCAAAACAUCUGUAAAAUGUAGAGAAAUCAACUGAGACUCCCGACCAAUCACAGAGCUUAAUAUGCUGUAAUUAAAUUAAUUCACCUUGGGAUUUAAAAUAUCACAAAAUAGCAUCAAUUAUAUUCCGACCAACCGUCCACAGGAUUGAGUUCAUUACGACACAAAGAAAAGCAGCAAAUCUCAACCAAUGACAAACUGGAACCAGGUCGUGGUGAACAUCUGCAUGAUGAAGAUGAACUGAGUUUAACCAACGAUCCAGUGGUUGAUUCCGCCAUGACGCCAUGAGGCUGCAGUGAAGUUGUGCAACGCCGAUACGCCGCGCGGCGGUUUCGGGAUGCACCUCAAUCAAAACCUGGUUCUACUCGCCCCGGACCUCCACCCGAGCAGCAGCGGCACGCGCGUGAGUCAGCGCGCCGCCGGGAGGCACCAGCGGAACCGGAUCAUUUGCUUGUUAUCACGGAGGCCGUCGGCGUGCUGGAAGGUGGAGCAUGCAAAGAGGCAGAAUGGUGCACUGGACAGGGGGGGG